UCUGAACCAAGAAGACAUAUUGUUCUGGUAACCCUGGCUCACUCUUCUGAACCAAGACAGACAUAUUGUUCUGGUAACCCUGGCUACACUCUUCUGAACCAAGAUAGACAUAUUGUCUUGGUAACCCUGGCUACACCUUCUGAACCAAGACAGACAUAUUGUUUCUGGUAACCCUGGCUACACUAUUCUGAACCAAGACAGACAUAUUGUUCUGGUAACCCUGGCUACACUCUGAACCAAGACAGACAUAUUGUUCUGGUAACCCUGGCUAACUCUGAACCAAGGACAACUAUUGUUCUGGUAACCCUGGCUACACUCUGAACCAAGACAGACAUAUUGUUCUGGUUACCCUGGCUACACUCUUAACCAAGACAGACAUUUGGUCUGGUUCACCUGGCUACACUCUUCUGAACCAAGACAGACAUAUUGUUCUGGUACCGGCUACACUCUGAACCAAGACAGACAUAUUGUUCUGGUAACCCUGGCUACACUCUCUGAACCAAGACAGACAUAUUGUUCUGGUAACCCUGGCUACACUCUUCUGAACCAAGACAGACAUAUUGUUCUGGCUACACUCUUCUGAACCAAGACAGACAUAUUGUUCUGGUAACCCUGGCUACACUCUUCUGAACCAAGACAGACAUAUUGUUCUGGUAACCCUGGCUACACUCUGAACCAAGACAGACAUAUUGUUCUGGUAACCCUGGCUACACUUCUGAACCAAGACAGACAUAUUGUUCUGGUAAC
ensembl:lncRNA